GCCUCUUUACAUGCACUCACCCGCGCAGCAUAGUUUCGCACUCAACAGUACUUGAAUAAGCAUAAUUGCUAGGUUGAGUCUUUUGAAAAAGGUGACGUGUUAUGAACCAUGAUUAACGGAUGAACGUGGUUAUUAAAACCAAUGAACCAUGAUUAUUGGAACCACCUUUUAUUCUUCAAGCUGCCAUUAUAGGGUCCUGCCACUGUCUGAAUCAUCAGCGAUUGUGCCUCUAUUAUAAAAGUUGCCAUCACCAUACUAAUUUCUGCCUCUUUCUCUUCAAUUUUGAGGAUUUUAAGUUGUGUGGCUAUCAUUGCAGUUGUAAUUCUAUUCUACUUUUGCCGUUGUUUUCAUGCAAUAGAAGGGAGUGGAUUUAGCUCUUUCCAAUCUUCGAUCUUUCGAUAAAAGGUCUUACUAUAGUUUCUUCUUAACUCCAGUGAUAUGGCUAUUGCAUGUUUAGAGCUCUAGCAUGCUUGCAUAAACAGGGUGUGGUGCACAGAGAUAUUAAGCCCGGAAACUUCCUCUUCUCUCAGAAGCUAAGCAAAGGUUACCUGAUUGAUUUCAACCAUGUUUGGAGGCCUUUUAACUACUGGUAUACUCGCAUUCUCGGGGACGUUUUAAAUUGCAAGACCAGGUAUAGGUAGUCUACUGGUCUUCGCUAAAUUGCAAGACCAGGUAGCAAGGUGAAAAGCUUACCUGCUGUGCGAUGUCGUUUCCGCGUUGUUCCCCAUGAGCGUGGUGAGUGUUCUUGGAACUUCUGGACUGUACAUGUCAGGAUCAUAUGUUGAGCAAAAGACCUUAGCCACAGAGUUUCAGAUG